GCCGACGGUUUUAUUUUUCCACAGCAUUUGUUUUAGAAGAGCACUCAUGAGAAUUUUCAGUUUUAUCAUGUAUUUUCGACUCCUUUUCGAUUCGAAAAUGCUUUUGCAAUUGUUCCAAAGAAUAAUCUUCAGAACUAUGAAUGAUCUUCUUCCGAUAUCCUUUCCAAGUUCCAGGAAGUUUGGCAAUUAUAGCCUCCACUUGAAAGGUCUCCGGUAUAUCAAUUUUUACCCCUUUUAAUUUGUUGACAAUCACUUGCACCUCAUGGACUUGGGGAAGAAGAAGGAUAUUUUCUAAGAAUUUUAAAUCAAAAAUUUCUUUGUACCUUCUUCUUCUGCUUUGUACUUACUUUCCAAUGCUUCCCAGAUUUCUUUCGUCGAAGUUGUAUUGGUGUAUAGAUCAUACAAACGAUCCGACAAUGCAUUCAAGAUGUGGCCACGGCAAAUCAAUUCAUCUUCUUAGCGUUUUUGUCUCUCGAUCUUGAUUGCUUCGGAUUCUCCAUUCGUUGGUUCCGGCAAAGGCGCCAAAUAUGGAUCAAGAAUAUAAAAAAUUUUCAACGCCAUUAGGAGGAAUUUCAACUUGUCUUGCCAUCGCAAGAAAUUAGCCCCGUCAAAACGAUCCAAUCUAACAAGAUCUUGAUUCAUGAGUUUGAUGGUUGCCACAGUUGUAUCAUUCUCCAUCGCAAAAUAUAGUUUGAGAUUGUUGAAAAAUAAGGGGUUGGAGAAGAAACAACAACAAAAUUACAGAAACAAAAUGAAUAGAAAUCACAAAAUACGUCAAGAACGAAUUUGAGGCUUGAACAAGGGAUCGUUGUCCUCAAACUAUAUUUGCCCCCUCUCGAGACUGAAUGAGAUGCUUAAGGGUUUUGGCAAACGGUUCGUAGGAUUAUAUCAAGCCUUGUAAAGGAUUUAACACCAAAGCAAAAGUGCAAUCCUCCAAAACUUUAAGAACACAAAGGAAGAUCUUAAAUAUAAAUGUAAAUCAAUAGUUUGAUUCAAUAUGAAAUGAUAUAUUGAUCUCAAGAUGUUUUCAAUGAUUCUAAUAAUAUUUGUAUUGAUCAUUCAUCACCUAUUUAU
rnacentral:lncRNA from 1 species